AUCUUGAUAGCUUAAAUAAGAGCAUAGCACUGAAGAUGCUAAGGUAACAGUUUUGUUUCAAGGUG
rnacentral:tRNA from 1 species